GACGAACGCUGGCGGCGUGCUUAACACAUGCAAGUCGAACGCUGAAGCUCAGCUUUUGUUGGGUGGAUGAGUGGCGAACGGGUGAGUAACACGUGAGUAACCUGCCUCCUUCUUUGGGAUAACGCCCGGAAACGGGUGCUAAUACUGGAUAUUCACUGGUCUUCGCAUGGGGGUUGGUGGAAAGGGUUUUUCUGGUGGGGGAUGGGCUCGCGGCCUAUCAGCUUGUUGGUGGGGUGAUGGCCUACCAAGGCUGUGACGGGUAGCCGGCCUGAGAGGGUGACCGGUCACAUUGGGACUGAGAUACGGCCCAGACUCCUACGGGAGGCAGCAGUGGGGAAUAUUGCACAAUGGGCGCAAGCCUGAUGCAGCGACGCCGCGUGAGGGAUGGAGGCCUUCGGGUUGUGAACCUCUUUCGCUCAUGGUCAAGCCGCAACAAUGGUUGUGGUGAGGGUAGUGGGUAAAGAAGCGCCGGCUAACUACGUG
rnacentral:rRNA from 1 species